rnacentral:piRNA from 1 species
UCCACAGGGCUGGUUUCCGUAGCCACCGAU